UCCAUCAUUGGCUGAAGAAAUACUGAGAAUUGGGAGCAUUUGUACACCGGGGCCAGAACUAACCUCUGAAGCUCCAGUUCAAUCAUUAUCCAACGAACUUGUUGUAAAGGAAAAGAAAACUAGAGGAUUAUUCACCACCCCUGUCCGUUGUGGGCGUUAGUGUUCUGAAGGGAAUCAUGAUAGAUGACAUGUUAAAGGAGAUAAGAAAGCUUUAAGGGAGUGCAUGGAUUCCACUGAAGUAUCAUCGGCUUUGAAUUCGCCCUUGGAAAUUGGGAAGUGAUGUUUUGUCGAAACCGCAUUGGUCGCAAAUCUGGAAGUGACUACCACAGAGCAAGAUGAAAAAAUUGCAAAUUGAUUCUGGCGAACAGACCUCAAAGACUGAGGAAGCAUUGCUUGUGGACCCAGAUCCUCAUCCGCGGAUGGUUGGGAGCAACAUGGCAGAGUAAUUAUUAGGAGCCAUGAAAAUGAAUUGAUGAUACCUUUAUAAUAAACGGUGUUCUGUAGUUACUGUGACAUCCAAGUUAAUAUAGUGAUCAGCUUGUUACUUCCGAGUUGUGGCUGUAAAUAUGCAAAACAUGAUGCCGUGAUGGAAGCGUACAUGGGUGCGCCCUUUUAAUGUAAUUCUGAACUUCUUGAUCAAUUGUGAGGACAACCAAUGCCAUUUAUUGGGAUCUA